rnacentral:rRNA from 1 species
UACGGAGGGGGCUAGCGUUGUUCGGAAUUACUGGGCGUAAAGCGCGCGUAGGCGGGUUUGCAAGUCGGUUGUGAAAGCCCUGGGCUCAACCUGGGAAUGGCAGUCGAAACUGUAAAUCUUGAGUGCCUGAGAGGAUGGCGGAAUUCCCGGUGUAGUAGUGAAAUACGUAGAUAUCGGGAAGAACACCUGAGGCGAAGGCGGCUAUCUGGCGGUGCACUGACGCUGAGGCGCGAAAGCGUGGGGAGCAAACAGG